rnacentral:rRNA from 1 species
AACGAACGCUGGCGGCAUGCCUAACACAUGCAAGUCGAACGAGACCUUCGGGUCUAGUGGCGCACGGGUGCGUAACGCGUGGGAACCUGCCCUUAGGUUCGGAAUAACUCCCCGAAAGGGGUGCUAAUACCGGAUAAUGUCUUCGGACCAAAGAUUUAUCGCCUUUGGAUGGGCCCGCGUUGGAGUAGCUAGUUGGUAGGGUAAAAGCCUACCAAGGCGACGAUCCAUAGCUGGUCUGAGAGGAUGAUCAGCCACACUGGGACUGAGACACGGCCCAGACUCCUACGGGAGGCAGCAGUGGGGAAUAUUGGACAAUGGGCGAAAGCCUGAUCCAGCAAUGCCGCGUGAGUGAUGAAGGCCUUAGGGUUGUAAAGCUCUUUUACCCGGGAUGAUAAUGACAGUACCGGGAGAAUAAGCUCCGGCUAACUCCGUG